rnacentral:other from 1 species
ACGGUUAUAAAUCAACAUAUUGAUUUAUAAGCAUGGAAAUCCCUUGAGUGAAACAACGAAUUGCUGUGUGUAGUCUUUGCCCAUCUCCCACGAUGGGCUUUUUUUUAA